UUACCCGCUGAAUUUAAGCAUAUAAUUAAGCGGAGGAAAAGAAACUAACCAGGAUUGCCUCAGUAAGGGCGACUGAAGCGGCAAUAGCUCACCAUGUGAAUCUGCGCCUCGUGCGCCGAAUUGUGGUCUCAUGUGCGUUAUGGGGGCUGGGCCAAGUCCGUUGGAAUGCGGCAGCUUAGAGGGUGAGACUCCCGUCCGCCUGGCCCCUUGAGCAUGUGUAUACGAGUCGAGUUGUUUGGGAUUGCAGCUCUAAGCGGGUGGUAAAUUCCAUCGAAAGCUAAAUACUGGUGGGAGACCGAUAGCGCACAAGUACCGUGAGGGAAAGAUGCAAAGAAACGCGAAAGCGUUGUCAAAGAGAACCUGAACUUGCUGAAACGGAAGCGAAGGUACCCAGU
rnacentral:rRNA from 1 species